rnacentral:rRNA from 1 species
GUAGUCUGCAACUCGACUACAUGAAGCUGGAAUCGCUAGUAAUCGCAGAUCAGAAUGCUGCGGUGAAUACGUUCCCGGGUCUUGUACACACCGCCCGUCACACCAUGGGAGUCGGAAAUGCCCGAAGCCGGUGACCGAACCAAUAAGGAAGGAGCCGUCGAAGGCAGGUCUGAUAACUGGGUGAAGUCGUAACAAGGUAAC